UCCGGUUUGUCACCGGCAGUCUCGCAUGAGUCCCCAACUAAAUGCUGGCAACAUGCGACAGGGGUUGCGCUCGUUGCGGGACUCAACCCAACAUCUCACGACACGAGCUGACGACAGCCAUGCACCACCUGUGAUCCUGCCCCGAAGGGAAACCCUGUUUCCAGGGCGGUCAGGAACAUGUCAAACCCAGGUAAGGUUCUUCGCGUUGCGUCGAAUUAAACCACAUGCUCCGCUGCUUGUGCGGGCCCCCGUCAAUUCCUUUGAAUUUUAGCCUUGCGGCCGUACUCCCCAGGCGGGGUGCUUAAUGCGUUAGCUUCGGCACGGAGGGGGUCGAUACCCCCCACACCAAGCACUCACCGUUUAGGGCGUGGACUAC
rnacentral:misc_RNA from 1 species